ensembl:lncRNA
AAGAGCACGUGAGUUAUCUGAGAACACAAGAUGUGAAGUGUGCCUUCCACUGCGGUAAAUAACCUGAUAAAUACCUGCUAGUCCAGUCUCAGCUAUUGUGCUUAGUCUUCUUGGCAAAUCACUAGUAUGUUGGGUUUUGCUUGUUUUUGCCAUACUGAUUCUCACAGGGGUACUGCUCACAUGUACUCCCAGUGCCAUUACAUGCAAACAACAGCCACAGCAUACAACCAUACUUGCUCUCCAGCAGUGGUGUAGACACAUGUAACUCCAGGCUUAGAUUUCACAAGAAGAAAAUAGGGGUAAAAAAGCUUGGCCUGGCAGGCCAGCAUACACAGACUAUUACUGUUUUCUACAUUUGAUAUCACUGCAUCCAGAAAAAAACAUCCUGGCAGAGGAGAGCUGCUUCAUGUCCCAAAACACCUUGAUUUCCUUCCCGCACCCUGCUACCACUCAUAUUUUGAAGGACUGGAGCUAAAUCUGUUUGGUACAGAUAUCCCCCAUGAAAAAUUCCAGGUGUUCAGCACAGAGUUGCAAGGAGCAUGGCUUUGUUGGCGAUAACAAUGUAUGGGUUUGGAAAUUCACCUCUACUUGUGCAGAAGAGCGGUGGCCCAGGGGGCUCAUGCUCAUUUUCUCUGCUGAAGAUCAGUUUUCAGCUCCCUCCUGCACCUCCUCAAACGUCUGUCUGGACAAAGAGUGGGAAUCUCCAUUUUGUGGGAAAUUCUGCCAUUGAGUUCCAGCCACAGCAAGAAAUGCACUUUUGCAGUUUCUAACACUUUUUCAAGGAGGGAUAAUGGAAACAUUUCUGUCUGAAACCAAGCAGAGCAGCUGACUGCACCAGUCCUGGGCCAUCCAAGGAUCCUCAAGGCUCACUGCCCACCCAGGGUUCCAAUGCAGUCACCUUCAAUGAGUACCUCAGCCACCACUGCCCCAUCCUGCCAAUGGGGCUCUCACCAGCAGCAUCCCAGCUGCUGCAUACACCAGUGUUCUCUUGCAUUCUCCCCACUACACAUUGCAGCUUUUCAGAUGUUUGUGUUUGUUGGCUUUUUUUAACUUAUGUUCUUGCAUUUCCUAGAGGGUGCUAAGAACACAGAUGGAGGGUGAAGGGUGAGUACAUUCAGAUGCUCAUACUGGCUUUUCCCAGUGCGGCCUUGGGUUUUGCAGUUGCAGGAGGAAGGGAAACUGAACCCAAAUAUUCUGUUACUGUCAUAAACUCCUCCAAUUCUCCCACUUUCAAUACUUCUAAAAUUAGGGCCAUGCACCAUUGCCUCACUAUAUCCCUUUCACUCCACUCUUUAUAGAUAUUCUAUAUGAGGCUGGUCUACAGUUUCUGUCAUCAUUAAAGGAUUUCAUGACAAAUGGUCUAUAAGCCUGAACCUUUAAUCCUUCCCAUUCAUUCUAGCACAGAGUCCCCAGAGAGCACCUGCAAUGUGUUCUCACCAACAAGACUCUCUCAAAGUGAAUGUCCUUCCCCUGAGGUAUUCAGCAUCUUCAUCACCCAUGGCAGCUCUCUGAAAGGAGCUCCCUAUAGCUCCUCCACUGAAUCUUCACGCUGAUGCCAUAGUUAGGGGUAACAAAUGCUUUGUUAGGUAAGAUAAAAUCCCUGGUUGCAAGGAAGUCAGAUAGCAAAAGUCCCAUUGCCACUGGGACACCCCGAGCAGCUCAUAUAGAUCAAAGGCUACACAUGGGAACACUGUCAUGCAUGUCUCUGUAAAAAUAUUAUAUCUAUCUUGGCUUCAUUAUUCCUACUAUUUCUUGGUCCAUAACAAGACCAAGCAAAUCCUAGAUUUCUUCCUUCCUAGAGCUUCUGUUAGUGAAUCUAACCCUACUCCCAUACUAUUUCUUAACUGUGAAAUUUCAGAUUAAGAAAAAAAAAUCUACAGAAAAAAUAAAA